AGUCGAACGGCAGCACGGGGGCAACCCUGGUGGCGAGUGGCGAACGGGUGAGUAAUACAUCGGAACGUGCCCAGUCGUGGGGGAUAACGUAGCGAAAGCUACGCUAAUACCGCAUACGAUCUAAGGAUGAAAGCGGGGGACCGUAAGGCCUCGCGCGAUUGGAGCGGCCGAUGGCAGAUUAGGUAGUUGGUGGGGUAAAGGCUCACCAAGCCGACGAUCUGUAGCUGGUCUGAGAGGACGACCAGCCACACUGGGACUGAGACACGGCCCAGACUCCUACGGGAGGCAGCAGUGGGGAAUUUUGGACAAUGGGCGCAAGCCUGAUCCAGCCAUUCCGCGUGCAGGAUGAAGGCCUUCGGGUUGUAAACUGCUUUUGUACGGAACGAAACGGCGAUCUCUAAUACAGGUUGCUAAUGACGGUACCGUAAGAAUAAGCACCGGCUAACUACGUGCCAGCAGCCGCGGUAAUACGUAGGGUGCAAGCGUUAAUCGGAAUUACUGGGCGUAAAGCGUGCGCAGGCGGUGAUGUAAGACAGAUGUGAAAUCCCCGGGCUCAACCUGGGAACUGCAUUUGUGACUGCAUCGCUGGAGUGCGGCAGAGGGGGAUGGAAUUCCGCGUGUAGCAGUGAAAUGCGUAGAUAUGCGGAGGAACACCGAUGGCGAAGGCAAUCCCCUGG
rnacentral:rRNA from 1 species